rnacentral:rRNA from 1 species
CCAGACAGCCAGGAUGUUGGCUUAGAAGCAGCCAUCAUUUAAAGAAAGCGUAAUAGCUCACUGGUCGAGUCGGCCUGCGCGGAAGAUGUAACGGGGCUAAACCAUGCACCGAAGCUGCGGCAGCGACACUAUGUGUUGUUGGGUAGGGGAGCGUUCUGUAAGCCUGCGAAGGUGUACUGUGAGGUAUGCUGGAGGUAUCAGAAGUGCGAAUGCUGACAUAAGUAACGAUAAAGCGGGUGAAAAGCCCGCUCGCCGGAAGACCAAGGGUUCCUGUCCAACGUUAAUCGGGGCAGGGUGAGUCGACCCCUAAGGCGAGGCCGAAAGGCGUAGUCGAUGGGAAACAGGUUAAUAUUCCUGUACUUGGUGUUACUGCGAAGGGGGGACGGAGAAGGCUAUGUUGGCCGGGCGACGGUUGUCCCGGUUUAAGCGUGUAGGCUGGUUUUCCAGGCAAAUCCGGAAAAUCAAGGCUGAGGCGUGAUGACGAGGCACUACGGUGCUGAAGCAACAAAUGCCCUGCUUCCAGGAAAAGCCUCUAAGCAUCAGGUAACAUCAAAUCGUACCCCAAACCGACACAGGUGGUCAGGUAGAGAAUACCAAGGCGCUUGAGAGAACUCGGGUGAAGGAACUAGGCAAAAUGGUGCCGUAACUUCGGGAGAAGGCACGCUGAUAUGUAGGUGAAGUCCCUCGCGGAUGGAGCUGAAAUCAGUCGAAGAUACCAGCUGGCUGCAACUGUUUAUUAAAAACACAGCACUGUGCAAACACGAAAGUGGACGUAUACGGUGUGACGCCUGCCCGGUGCCGGAAGGUUAAUUGAUGGGGUUAGCGGUAACGCGAAGCUCUUGAUCGAAGCCCCGGUAAACGGCGGCCGUAACUAUAACGGUCCUAAGGUAGCGAAAUUCCUUGUCGGGUAAGUUCCGACCUGCACGAAUGGCGUAAUGAUGGCCAGGCUGUCUCCACCCGAGACUCAGUGAAAUUGAACUCGCUGUGAAGAUGCAGUGUACCCGCGGCAAGACGGAAAGACCCCGUGAACCUUUACUAUAGCUUGACACUGAACAUUGAGCCUUGAUGUGUAGGAUAGGUGGGAGGCUUUGAAGUGUGGACGCCAGUCUGCAUGGAGCCGGCCUUGAAAUACCACCCUUUAAUGUUUGAUGUUCUAACGUUGGCCCCUGAUCGGGGUUGCGGACAGUGUCUGGUGGGUAGUUUGACUGGGGCGGUCUCCUCCUAAAGAGUAACGGAGGAGCACGAAGGUUGGCUAAUCCUGGUCGGACAUCAGGAGGUUAGUGCAAUGGCAUAAGCCAGCUUGACUGCGAGCGUGACGGCGCGAGCAGGUGCGAAAGCAGGUCAUAGUGAUCCGGUGGUUCUGAAUGGAAGGGCCAUCGCUCAACGGAUAAAAGGUACUCCGGGGAUAACAGGCUGAUACCGCCCAAGAGUUCAUAUCGACGGCGGUGUUUGGCACCUCGAUGUCGGCUCAUCACAUCCUGGGGCUGAAGUAGGUCCCAAGGGUAUGGCUGUUCGCCAUUUAAAGUGGUACGCGAGCUGGGUUUAGAACGUCGUGAGACAGUUCGGUCCCUAUCUGCCGUGGGCGCUGGAGAACUGAGGGGGGCUGCUCCUAGUACGAGAGGACCGGAGUGGACGCAUCACUGGUGUUCGGGUUGUCAUGCCAAUGGCACUGCCCGGUAGCUAAAUGCGGAAGAGAUAAGUGCUGAAAGCAUCUAAGCACGAAACUUGCCCCGAGAUGAGUUCUCCCUGACUCCUUGAGAGUCCUGAAGGAACGUUGAAGACGACGACGUUGAUAGGCCGGGUGUGUAAGCGCAGCGAUGCGUUGAGCUAACCGGUACUAAUGAACCGUGAGGCUUAACCUU